rnacentral:rRNA from 1 species
GAUGAACGCUGGCGGCGUGCCUAAUACAUGCAAGUCGAGCGAACAGAUGAGGAGCUUGCUCCUCUGACGUUAGCGGCGGACGGGUGAGUAACACGUGGAUAACCUACCUAUAAGACUGGGAUAACUUCGGGAAACCGGAGCUAAUACCGGAUAAUAUAUUGAACCGCAUGGUUCAAUAGUGAAAGACGGUUUUGCUGUCACUUAUAGAUGGAUCCGCGCCGCAUUAGCUAGUUGGUAAGGUAACGGCUUACCAAGGCAACGAUGCGUAGCCGACCUGAGAGGGUGAUCGGCCACACUGGAACUGAGACACGAUCCAGACUCCUACGGGAGGCAGCAGUAGGGAAUCUUCCGCAAAGGGCGAAAGCCUGACGGAGCAACGCCGCGUGAGUGAUGAAGGUCUUCGGAUCGUAAAACUCUGUUAUUAGGGAAGAACAAAUGUGUAAGUAACUAUGCACGUCUUGACGGUACCUAAUCAGAAAGCCACGGCUAACUACGUG